rnacentral:rRNA from 1 species
GAUGAACGCUGGCGGCGUGCCUAAUACAUGCAAGUCGAGCGAACAGAUGAGGAGCUUGCUCCUCUGACGUUAGCGGCGGACGGGUGAGUAACACGUGGAUAACCUACCUAUAAGACUGGGAUAACUUCGGGAAACCGGAGCUAAUACCGGAUAAUAUAUUGAACCGCAUGGUUCAAUAGUGAAAGACGGUUUUGCUGUCACUUAUAGAUGGAUCCGCGCCGCAUUAGCUAGUUGGUAAGGUAACGGCUUACCAAGGCAACGAUGCGUAGCCGACCUGAGAGGGUGAUCGGCCACACUAGAACUGGGACACGGUCCAGACUCCUACGGGAGGCAGCAGUAGGGAAUCUUCCGCAAUGGGCGAAAGCCUGACGGAGCAACGCCGCGUGAGUGAUGAAGGUCUUCGGAUCGUAAAACUCUGUUAUUAGGGAAGAACAAAUGUGUAAGUAACUAUGCACGUCUUGACGGUACCUAAUCAGAAAGCCACGGCUAACUACGUG